rnacentral:rRNA from 1 species
GACGUAGGAUGCGAGCGUUAUCCGGAAUGAUUGGGCGUAAAGCGUCCGUAGGUGGCAGUUCAAGUCUGCUGUGAAAGACCGGGGCUUAACUUCGGAAAGGCAGUGGAAACUGAACAGCUAGAGUAUGGUAGGGGAAGAAGGAAUUCCUGGUGUAGCGGUGAAAUGCGUAGAUAUCAGGAAGAACAUCGGUGGCGAAGGCGCUCUGCUGGGCCAUAACUGACACUGAGGGACGAAAGCUAGGGGAGCGAAUGGG